GAAAUGCGAUAAGUAAUGUGAAUUGCAGAAUUCCGUGAAUCACCGAAUCUUUGAACGCACAUUGCGCCCUCUGGCAUUCCGGGGGGCAUGCCUGUCCGAGCGUCAUUACGCACCCUCAAGCCCGGCUUGUGUGAUGGGCCCCGGCGUCUCGUUCGCGAGACGGGCCCGAAAGGCAGCGGCGGCGUCGACCCGAUGAGCCCGAGCGUAUGGGGACUUCUGUCACACGUUCGCGGUGCGGACCGGCGCCUGCUUUGACUUUUCUGAUUAUCCAGGUUGACCUCGGAUCAGGUAGGGAUACCCGCUGAACUUAAGC
rnacentral:misc_RNA from 1 species